AAAACUGAAAAAGCAUGAAAGAAAGAAUGGUCUCAUUAUAUUGGGCUUUACAGGUCCACUUGCUUGAGGCUGAGUCCUGACUGCCUAAGGAAACCCAAAAGGCUCUGGUGAAUGUGUGCCGUGUGCUCAGCUCCAACUCCCCCGAGCAGCUGCCUUGCUCGGUAGUACCCCGGAUACCGACAUUACGCAAAGCAUCCACCAUUUUUCUGAACCUGCCUUUGUUAGUUUUGUCACUAAUAUAACACAAUGCCAAGAGAAACGAGCCCCGGCUUGAAAAUCCUCUGGGUCUGGACCCUCGGCACCGCCGCCAUACUGGUUACGAGUGUGGUACGAACAAGGCUAAGGGACAUGGAAAGCGUCAUGAACGCUCAAAAACAGGAGCCCAUUUCCACUGAUACGGUUCUGGUGGACGAGAUGCCGGGGUCUGAGGAUGUUAUACGUGAAGAGAGAUCAUAGGUUUGGAUCAAUCCCAUUUUUUCGUAACUGGGGUUUUGGUUUAUUUCUUGAAGUUUUAAUAGAUAUGGUUCGGAGGGUUCAAAUAAGAUUGUGCGCUAUAUGUUUGUUGAAUGUUCUGAAUGAAACUGUGAAUUGCCAUUUGGGGUUUAUUCAGAAAUUUGGUUUGCUCUUGAAGGAUUUCA